AGAAAGAAAAGAGUCGGAGCACGAAGAGCGAGAUAGAGAAAACGUUUCGUUUGCAAUUUUUUUUUUUCCUAACCCUUUUUUUCUUUUUCUUUCUUCUUCUUGUUU
rnacentral:ribozyme from 1 species